rnacentral:tRNA from 1 species
GCGCCCAUAGCUUAAUUGGAUAGAGCAUUUGACUACGAAUCAAAAGGUUGAAGGUUCAACUCCUUCUGGGCGCG